AGGAAAUAGAUACCCCGGUAGUCCCAGCCGUAAACGAUGCUCGCUAGGUGUCAGACAUGGCGNGACCGUGUCUGGUGCCGCAGGGAAGCCGUGAAGCGAGCCACCUGGGAAGUACGGCCGCAAGGCUGAAACUUAAAGGAAUUGGCGGGGGAGCACAACAACGGGUGGAGCCUGCGGUUUAAUUGGACUCAACGCCGGACAACUCACCGGGGACGACAGCAAAAUGUAGGCCAGGCUGAAGACCUUGCCUGAAUCGCUGAGAGGAGGUGCAUGGCCGUCGCCAGUUCGUACUGUGAAGCAUCCUGUUAAGUCAGGCAACGAGCGAGACCCGUGCCCACUGUUACCAGCAUAUCCUCCGGGAUGAUGGGUACUCUGUGGGGACCGCCGGUGUUAAAUCGGAGGAAGGUGCGGGCCACGGUAGGUCAGUAUGCCCCGAAUUUCCCGGGCUACACGCGGGCUACAAUGAAUGGGACAAUGGGUCCCUACCCCGAAAGGGUUGGUAAUCUCACAAACCCAUCCGUAGUUCGGAUCGAGGGCUGUAACUCGCCCUCGUGAA
rnacentral:rRNA from 1 species